rnacentral:tRNA from 1 species
UCCCUGGUGGUCCAGUGGUUAGGACACUGUGUUCACAAUGCAGGGAGCUUGGGUUCGAUCCCUGGUUGGGGAA